AGCGAACGCUGGCGGUAGGCCUAACACAUGCAAGUCGAACGGCAGCACAGUAAGAGCUUGCUCUUACGGGUGGCGAGUGGCGGACGGGUGAGGAAUAUAUCGGAAUCUACUUUUUCGUGGGGGAUAACGUAGGGAAACCUACGCUAAUACCGCAUACGACCUACGGGUGAAAGCAGGGGAUCUUCGCACCUUGCGCGAUUGAAUGAGCCGAUGUUGGAUUAGCUAGUUGGCGGGGUAAAGGCCCACCAAGGCGACGAUCCGCAGCUGGACUGAGAGGAUGGUCGGCGACACUGGAACUGAGACACGGUCCAGACUCCUACGGGAGGCAGCAGUGGGGAAUAUUAGGCAAUGGGCGCGAACCUGAUCCAGCCAUACCGCGUGGGUGAAGGAGGCCUUCGGGUUGUAAAGCCCUUUUGUUGGGAAAGAAAAGCAGCAGGUUGAUACGCCGCUGUUCUGACGGUACCCAGAGAAUAAGCACCGGCUAACUUCGUG
rnacentral:rRNA from 1 species